CUCCAUUCAUUUUCCAACAAGAUGAGAAUGAUCAUUUUCCUAUGUAAUUGAAAUAUUAUGUGAUUAUCAGAUUCUAUAGAUGCUGAUGUGGAAAAGAGAUCAUGACUUUUGGCUCAUGCUGGUUAAAUAUCACUAUGUUUUCAUAUGAAUGCGUGAUUCAUGGAUAAACAGGUCUCGUGUUUUUCCAGUCAGUCUUCAUAAUCAAUUGUCGUUGUUGAAUAAUAAUUUUAGUUUGAAGCUUCUUAUUUGUUGAAUUACACUUUUUGUCUCUCCACGACUGUUGUAAGCAAUCCAACCAACCAAAAAAAAAGAGUUUAAUCGAGUAUUUAUCCAGUCGAUGACCACUGACUGUCUUAAUUGAGCUUCCACUUGUUAUUGUAGCACCUCUUCCUUCCUUCAGAUGGUUGAAAAAAUCAUGAUGGCAAUAAAGUUGAUGAUAGAAACAGACAAACCGUUUACUACGCAGUUUGACAACACAUUGACCUUUCCAAGAAAGCAGCAAGAUGAAAAGGUCAUAUCAUUCAAGAGAGUUGUUAAAUUUAACUGCUUCGGUUCAUGUUAAUAUACUGAAAAAAGCAUCGUUCAACGGCUUAAACAGUUAAAUUUAUUCACAUAAUAACAGUUAAAUAUUUGGGAAAAUGAGAAAACGUUAUCCUUGGUUGAGUAAAAAAACAUUGUCAACUUUCGUGUCAUCUUACAAAAGCUAAACCCUUUCUUCAAGCAACUUGCUUAUCUUUAAUCACAUGACGAAUCCAUUUUUCACUCUCAACUCCAUUAAAUUUUUUGGCGCUCUUUUCAACAACAUUAAUAAUUAAAUGAAACAUUUUUUUUAUAACCAGAAAUUUAAAUUAUAUCAAAUUUUUCAGUGUUAAUAGUUUACUUCAUUUCCUACGAUGUCAUUCGCCUACUUGUAAUAAUAUCAUUAUUGAUGGUUACGCUACUUUGAUCGCUUUACAACUCUUUCGUUUUUCCCUCCUUAAGUCUUUUCAAAUUUCUCUUUCCUCUACUUCUUUGUCAAUCAACUCUCAUAUCAGAUUUUUUUUCUUCUCAUCUUAAAUUCAUUGAAAUUUUCCGUUUUAAAUAUUUCAAUUAGUUUUUGACCAGCUUUAUCUAACAUUCUGGAUUUCACUUUCACAAGAUUCACAGCCAAUUUCAUCGAGUUUUAUAAUGAAAGCUUUCAACCGUAAGCCGAUUAAAUAGUGAAAAUUAUGGAUAAAGUUGAUCGCUUUGGAUAACCUGUGGUGACUAAAAUUAUGAAAUAUUGUAAUGAUUUUUCAUGAUUGAAUCUAUAAACAUCAGCUGGACACAAAGUGAGAUAUAAAAGAGCAAAGAAAACAAAGAAAAGGAUAAUUUCCAACUGAAGUAUUCUGGCCAUUCAAGCCAUUGGAUAAACAUUACAAUCAACCCAGGGCAGUGUGUAAACCUGUCAAGAAAUGUUAUGACAUGAAAUAAACCUCCUGCCGGAAGAUAUAUUACCCUUGAGAUGAUUUUGGUACAUAAUCCAGGAUGGGAGAGACAAAAAACUAUGAUGAUGAUAAUAAUCUUGUACAAGAUGAAGUUGAUCAGAAUAGGCUGAUGUGUUCAGUGAGGCAAAGCAAUGAGUGCAAGGGAAAAAAAGAUCCACUUUAAAAGAUACAUCAAGACUGUGAAAAUAAUGAAGCUACCAGGAAUAAGGUUAUCAUCCAUCAAGAUUAUUUCAAAUUUGAGUAAGAAAAUCAGAUUUCUUCUUGGUGAAAAAGCACAAAAAGAGAUAAAUAAAGCCAUCAACAGGAGCGAGAAAAAGGGUUAUUCAUUCCUUUAUUACAAGUGGGCCUAACAAUGUUAACAAUUGCACCAUUGACAUACACACAUCCUUUUUUGAUGAAUACACAAACACACUCAUUUUUAAAAUACAAACAAACCACAAAUGCAAAGAGCUUCAAGUUUCAACUUUACUUAAAAGUGUUCAUAGAGUUAACUGUUUUAAUGUUACACACACUCACGAAUCGCCCGAGGUGAUACAUGAAAACCCUUUGAGAACCACUCAAUCUUUAUUACAAUAUUUUCUACAUUCAAAUUCAUUGGACUAUUAUCUUCAUCAACAAGAUCUUAAUCGUUCAUUCAAACAGUUUGACUGUUAUAUAAACUGUAAUUCAACAAAAUAUGAUGGAUCCAAAGCGAUUGCUAAUAAUUUGACUAUCAAAAGUGAUUUGAUAUGAUCAAAGUGAUAUUACUGACGCUUUGUUAUACAUUAUUUUAAUGUAAACGAUAGAUUUUGAUUGAAUAUCUCAGUAUAAUCAGUAAAUUGCGUUUGAAUAAAAACGAGGCGAAACAAUGAUUAUGAUAAUCGUGGUAAAUGGUGCAGAUUGGUGUAAUUGAUGAGGAUGAUCAAAGGAUAACAAUUAAUUUGGAGGAGAUGAAUAAAGAGAAAAAUAAAUCCAAUUUUUGGGGAAAAAUUCAACAAUUUUGAUCGGUGAUAAAUUUCAAUAGUUUAAUAACCUUUUCCGAUCAACAAUAACUUAACUCAACCUCUUUCAUAAAUCAAAUCACGUUGAUAUAAAUCAUGUUAAUAGCAAUGAUAGUUGCGAUAAAAUUAACAUGUUAUUAAAAAUGACGCUGAUGAAUAUAAAGGUUAUUAAGCAAAAAAUCAAGAAAAAUUCAAAUUAAUAACAAUAAAUUACAUUGUUUGCCUGAAAAUUCCCAAAUAUGAAUGUUUCCACGGUUGUUACAUUAAC